rnacentral:rRNA from 1 species
CGUCAAGUCAUCAUGCCCCUUAUGCCCAGGGCUGCACGCAUGCUACAAUGGCCGGUACAAUGGGCUGCGAACCCGCGAGGGGGAGCUAAUCCUCAAAGCCGGCCUCAGUUCGGAUUGGAGUCUGCAACUCGACUCCAUGAAGCCGGAGUUGCUAGUAACCGCGCGUCAGCCAUAGUGCGGUGAAUACGUUCCCGGGCCUU